UACAGAGGGUGCGAGCGUUGUUCGGAAUUAUUGGGCGUAAAGCGCUUGUAGGCGGCACGUCAAGUCGCGUGUGAAAUCCCCAGGCUUAACCUGGGAAGUGCGCGCGAAACUGACGAGCUUUGAGUGCCGGAGAGGGUCGCGGAAUUCCCGGUGUAGAGGUGAAAUUCGUAGAUAUCGGGAGGAACACCAGUGGCGAAGGCGGCGACCUGGACGGACACUGACGCUGAGACGCGAAAGCGUGGGGAGCAAACAGG
rnacentral:rRNA from 1 species